rnacentral:rRNA from 1 species
GAUGAACGCUGGCGGCGUGCCUAAUACAUGCAAGUCGAGCGAAGCGGGGACGGGUGAGUAACACGUGGAUAACCUCCUAUAAGACUGGGCUAACUUCGGGAAACCGGAGCUAAACCGGAAAAUUUUAGAUGGAUCCGCGCUGCAUUAGCUAGUUGGUCAGGUAACGGCUAACAAAGGCAACGAUGUAUAGCCGACCAGGGAGGGUGAUCGGCCACACUGGAACUGAGACACGGUCCAGACUCCUACGGGAGGCAGCAGUAGGGAAUCUUCCGCAAUGGGCGAACGCCUGACGGAGCAACGCCGCGUGAGUGAUGAAGGUCUUCGGGUCGUAAAACUCUGUUAUUAGGGAAGCGGUACCUAAUCAGAAAGCCACGGCUAACUACGUGCCAGCAGCCGCGGUAAUAC